UACGUAGGGUGCGAGCGUUAAUCGGAAUUACUGGGCGUAAAGCGUGCGCAGGCGGUUUUGUAAGCCAGAUGUGAAAUCCCCGGGCUUAACCUGGGAAUGGCAUUUGGGACUGCAAGGCUUGAGUGCGGCAGAGGAGACUGGAAUUCCUGGUGUAGCAGUGAAAUGCGUAGAGAUCGGGAAGAACACCAGUGGCGAAGGCGGCCGGCUGGGGGCGCCCUGACGCUGAGGCGCGAGAGCGUGGGGAGCAAACCGG
rnacentral:rRNA from 1 species